rnacentral:rRNA from 1 species
ACGCUAGCGGCAGGCCUAAUACAUGCAAGACGAACGGCAAGAUUUUCAGCAAUGAGGAUCCUAGAGUGUCGUAAGGGUGCGUAACACGUAUGCAAUCUGCCCUGUACAGGAGGAUAGCUCCCCGAAAGGGGAAUUAACACUCCAUAAGAUCACGAGAGGGCAUCUGAUUGUGAUUAAAACUGAGGUGGUACAGGAUGAGCAUGCGCAUGAUUAGUUAGUUGGCGGGGUAAAGGCCCACCAAGACGAUGAUCAUUAGGGGAACUGAGAGGUUGAUCCCCCACACUGGCACUGAGAUACGGGCCAGACUCCUACGGGAGGCAGCAGUAGGGAAUAUUGGACAAUGGGUGAGAGCCUGAUCCAGCCAUGCCGCGUGCAGGAAGAAAGCCUUCUGGGUUGUAAACUGCUUUUGCCAGGGGAUAAAAACACUAUGCGUAGUGGAUUGAAGGUACCUGGUGAAUAAGCCACGGCUAACUACGUGCCAGCAGCCGCGGUAAU